rnacentral:tRNA from 1 species
GCCUGGCUGGCUCAGUGGUGAGAGUAUGGGACUCUUGAUCUCAGAGUCUUAAGUUCGAGCCCCAUGUUGGGUG